rnacentral:lncRNA from 1 species
GCUUUCUCUUCCUAUUUUGAAGGGGCAAGAUGUAUUUUUCCAUAUUAAAUAUUUUGAAAAAGUUGAAUGCUGCAUUGUGCCAGAUAAUUAAAAUGUAAAUUUCAGUAUCUAUGCUUGCUUUGUGAUUUUUUUUAAUACAUUUAAGUUAGUUGUCUUUUAAAACAUGUGGUCAGCUGUUGUAUUCACAUAUGGUCAAAUGAUCAAAGUCUGAACUCCUCUCUAAUUGUCCCCCCGCUGCUCGUCUGCUCUGUCCGUGAUCAAGGCCUCAGCAGGUGAUGAGAAAGGCAUGAGAACAAGCUGGAAGGAGAAUGAGGCACCGAGAGGCCCAAGCUGAAAGAAAUAAAGACUUCCAGUACAUCACCCUGACAGUAAAGAGCGAAGGAAAAGUGACGUCUGCUUCAAGACUAGUAAGGAAAUGGAAAUGUCAGAACACAGUAGCUGGGUUGCUAAGGUGUGUGGAACAAAAUAAGACAUCUAUGCAUUGAAAGGGAGAUUGUCAUCUAGAAAGACAAUGGAAUUCAUCCCAUUAAUGGAAAUAUGUAAUUAACAAGCUGCUGGUGUCAGUCUGUAGUGAGAACCCUGGCUUGGGCUCUUGCCUCCUAUAGAGUGGUAGUCUUGUCAAUGUCUUCUGGCUCCUUGUGGGGGUUGCACAGAUACAAGUGCAAAGAGGAAAUCUGCCUCC